rnacentral:snRNA from 1 species
UGUUUGCUUCAGCAGCACAUACAUGUACUAAAACUGGAAUGAUAGAAGAUGAGCAUGGCCUUGGACAAGAAGAACAUGGAUUCAUGAAGUGAUC